GGUUAAGCGACUAAGCGUACACGGUGGAUGCCCUGGCAGUCAGAGGCGAUGAAGGGCGUGCUAAUCUGCGAUAAGCGCCGGUAAGGUGAUAUGAACCGUUAUAACCGGCGAUACCCGAAUGGGGAAACCCAGUGUGACUCGUCACACUAUCAUUAACUGAAUCCAUAGGUUAAUGAGGCGAACCGGGGGAACUGAAACAUCUAAGUACCCCGAGGAAAAGAAAUCAACCGAGAUUCCCCCAGUAGCGGCGAGCGAACGGGGAGGAGCCCAGAGCCUGAAUCAGCAUGUGUGUUAGUGGAAGCGUCUGGAAAGGCGCGCGAUACAGGGUGACAGCCCCGUACACAAAAGCGCAUGUGCUGUGAGCUCGAUGAGUAGGGCGGGACACGUGGUAUCCUGUCUGAAUAUGGGGGGACCAUCCUCCAAGGCUAAAUACUCCUGACUGACCGAUAGUGAACCAGUACCGUGAGGGAAAGGCGAAAAGAACCCCGGCGAGGGGAGUGAAAAAGAACCUGAAACCGUGUACGUACAAGCAGUGGGAGCACAGGUUUACCUGUGUGACUGCGUACCUUUUGUAUAAUGGGUCAGCGACUUAUAUUCUGUAGCAAGGUUAACCGAAUAGGGGAGCCGGAGGGAAACCGAGUCUUAAUUGGGCGUUAAGUUGCAGGGUAUAGACCCGAAACCCGGUGAUCUAGCCAUGGGCAGGUUGAAGGUUGGGUAACACUAACUGGAGGACCGAACCGACUAAUGUUGAAAAAUUAGCGGAUGACCUGUGGCUGGGGGUGAAAGGCCAAUCAAACCGGGAGAUAGCUGGUUCUCCCCGAAAGCUAUUUAGGUAGCGCCUCGUGAAUUCAUCUCCGGGGGUAGAGCACUGUUUCGGCUAGGGGGCCAUCCCGGCUUACCAACCCGAUGCAAACUGCGAAUACCGGAGAAUGUUAUCACGGGAGACACACGGCGGGUGCUAACGUCCGUCGUGAAGAGGGAAACAACCCAGACCGCCAGCUAAGGUCCCAAAGUCAUGGUUAAGUGGGAAACGAUGUGGGAAGGCCCAGACAGCCAGGAUGUUGGCUUAGAAGCAGCCAUCAUUUAAAGAAAGCGUAAUAGCUCACUGGUCGAGUCGGCCUGCGCGGAAGAUGUAACGGGGCUAAACCAUGCACCGAAGCUGCGGCAGCGACGCUUAUGCGUUGUUGGGUAGGGGAGCGUUCUGUAAGCCUGUGAAGGUGUGUCGUGAGGCAUGCUGGAGGUAUCAGAAGUGCGAAUGCUGACAUAAGUAACGAUAAAGCGGGUGAAAAGCCCGCUCGCCGGAAGACCAAGGGUUCCUGUCCAACGUUAAUCGGGGCAGGGUGAGUCGACCCCUAAGGCGAGGCCGAAAGGCGUAGUCGAUGGGAAACGGGUUAAUAUUCCCGUACUUGGUGUUACUGCGAAGGGGGGACGGAGAAGGCUAUGUUGGCCGGGCGACGGUUGUCCCGGUUUAAGCGUGUAGGUGUGUGUUCCAGGUAAAUCCGGUUCACUUUAACACUGAGGCGUGAUGACGAGGCACUACGGUGCUGAAGCAACAAAUGCCCUGCUUCCAGGAAAAGCCUCUAAGCAUCAGGUAACAUCAAAUCGUACCCCAAACCGACACAGGUGGUCAGGUAGAGAAUACCAAGGCGCUUGAGAGAACUCGGGUGAAGGAACUAGGCAAAAUGGUGCCGUAACUUCGGGAGAAGGCACGCUGACAUGUAGGUGAAGUGAUUUACUCAUGGAGCUGAAGUCAGUCGAAGAUACCAGCUGGCUGCAACUGUUUAUUAAAAACACAGCACUGUGCAAACACGAAAGUGGACGUAUACGGUGUGACGCCUGCCCGGUGCCGGAAGGUUAAUUGAUGGGGUCAGCGCAAGCGAAGCUCCUGAUCGAAGCCCCGGUAAACGGCGGCCGUAACUAUAACGGUCCUAAGGUAGCGAAAUUCCUUGUCGGGUAAGUUCCGACCUGCACGAAUGGCGUAAUGAUGGCCAGGCUGUCUCCACCCGAGACUCAGUGAAAUUGAACUCGCUGUGAAGAUGCAGUGUACCCGCGGCAAGACGGAAAGACCCCGUGAACCUUUACUAUAGCUUGACACUGAACAUUGAGCCUUGAUGUGUAGGAUAGGUGGGAGGCUUUGAAGUGUGGACGCCAGUCUGCAUGGAGCCGACCUUGAAAUACCACCCUUUAAUGUUUGAUGUUCUAACGUGGACCCGUUAUCCGGGUUGCGGACAGUGUCUGGUGGGUAGUUUGACUGGGGCGGUCUCCUCCUAAAGAGUAACGGAGGAGCACGAAGGUUGGCUAAUCCUGGUCGGACAUCAGGAGGUUAGUGCAAUGGCAUAAGCCAGCUUGACUGCGAGCGUGACGGCGCGAGCAGGUGCGAAAGCAGGUCAUAGUGAUCCGGUGGUUCUGAAUGGAAGGGCCAUCGCUCAACGGAUAAAAGGUACUCCGGGGAUAACAGGCUGAUACCGCCCAAGAGUUCAUAUCGACGGCGGUGUUUGGCACCUCGAUGUCGGCUCAUCACAUCCUGGGGCUGAAGUAGGUCCCAAGGGUAUGGCUGUUCGCCAUUUAAAGUGGUACGCGAGCUGGGUUUAGAACGUCGUGAGACAGUUCGGUCCCUAUCUGCCGUGGGCGCUGGAGAACUGAGGGGGGGCUGCUCCUAGUACGAGAGGACCGGAGUGGACGCAUCACUGGUGUUCGGGUUGUCAUGCCAAUGGCACUGCCCGGUAGCUAAAUGCGGAAGAGAUAAGUGCUGAAAGCAUCUAAGCACGAAACUUGCCCCGAGAUGAGUUCUCCCUGAGACUUAGAGUCUCCUGAAGGAACGUUGAAGACGACGACGUUGAUAGGCCGGGUGUGUAAGCGCAGCGAUGCGUUGAGCUAACCGGUACUAAUGAACCGUGAGGCUUAACCUU
rnacentral:rRNA from 1 species